rnacentral:lncRNA from 1 species
AGGUGUCGGUGAUCAACGCCUCUUGCACUUAUUUCUCGCUGCUACCUGCGCCCUUCACCCACACAUUGGCUGGGUGAUCUAUUGUUGGGUGAUCUAUUGCCAAAGGUUGUCAGGAGUUUUUUAAAUCCUCUGUAGGAGCAUCCAGCAUCCCUGAGGCGGCUUGAGCCUUCGAGCAAGACAGAUGUUGGCCAGAAUCCAAGGGAAAUACUGCGCUUCCAGCGGGCUCGUUGGAGCAUCAGGUCCUACUCAGGAAACUCACCAGCCCUGCCUGGAGUCUCCAAAUCCAGCAGACUCCUGCCACACUCUUCUGUGCCACUCCUCCUGGAAGAGGAAGGAGGGGGUCUCCCUGGAUUCGCCACUUGUGGG